CAGUAGCGUAUAUUAAAGUUGUUGCAGUUAAAAUGCUCGUAGUUGAAGUUCGGAUGCAGCAGAGCUUGGAAACGCUGUUAUGGUGCUUCCGUUGCUUUUGCUUGUCCGCAGUGCGUUGCAAGUACGUAUGUGCUUGUGCGUGCAUUUUACUUUGAGAAACAUAGGGUGUUCCACGCAUGUUACGGCAUGAAUAUUCCAGCAUGGGAUAAUCUGGUACGACUUCCAAUCUGCCAUUUUGGUUCGUAGGUUGGAAGUAAUGAUUAAUAGGGACUGUCGGGGGCAUUGGUAUUUGACUGUCAGAGGUGAAAUUCUUAGGUUCGUUGAGGACCAACCACUGCGAAAGCAUUUGUCAAGGAUGUCUCCAUUA
rnacentral:rRNA from 1 species